CCAGUAGAACGAACCCGAGUUACCCUGAGUUACUGGCUGCGUAUCAGUGCGGGUCCGCAGCAAAUUCAGUCCUCGCCUCCUCAGAAGAAAUAAGUCGACUGAGGGGCCUGAGACAGGAGAGACCGAGGUUUCACUGUUCCUAGCUAAAAUUCCAGCCUCUGUUGCAUCUCGUUAUGUUAAUAUGACACAGUUCUGGCUAAUAACAUGGAGAUGUAAGUCCCUGAGAGAAGGCUUCCUUUCAGAAAUUUGUCUUCAGAAAUAAAACAGGCAGACCCCUGUGAAGAUGCCUAAACACCCUUUAUUACAAACAGCUAUGAGAAUUUUGAGGCCAAGGAUAUGAUUGCAACAGGUAUUUCCGUGCCCAUUCGAUGCAUGACACAGUUCUGAAUGCAAACCUGGUAGAAUUAAAAGUACCGGCAUCAUUUCCCUCGAGCAGAAAAAAAUGCCGCUGGAAGCCUUACUAAGUCAAUAAAUGGAACACAUUGUGACAAGAAACAUGAAAUGGGAUUUCCUGAAACACAACAACAUAAAGGCAAGCAAACAAAUGAAAAGUUUAUAAGAAACAAAUGCUAUGCAGCUUCUAUAGAAAAUGACAAUUUCAUAUGCAAGGUUAUUAAGAGAUACACAUGCAAAUUUGGGCUAGUUUUUGAUGCUGUGCCUUUAUUUAUACUUAGAAUUUGAUAUAAUUUUUGGUUCAAUUUGUUACAAUACUGUUGUUAAACCCGAAUACUAAUUUCUCCACAUAAGCAAACUCUAAACAUUCAAUAUUAACGUCAUGCAACUGAAGUACCUUUAUUUUAAAUUGUUGACCAUACUCUUUCUGAUAUACAAGUUAGAAGUAAAAAAUAAACAAAUAAAACAAAACCAA